AAAGUCGUAACAAGGUUUCCGUAGGUGAACCUGCGGAAGGAUCAUUAUUGUGGGGCUUCGGCCCUCUCGAGAUAGAACCCUUGCCUUUUUGAGUACCUUCGUUUCCUUGGCAGGCUCGCCUGCCAAUAGGGACCCCAAAAAACCCUUUGUAAUACCUGUAAUCGUCUGACAAAACAAACAAAAAUUAAAACUUUCAACAACGGAUCUCUUAGUUCUG
rnacentral:misc_RNA from 1 species